UGUUUUUUAUCGCUGAGUCCUUGAAUAGAAAAGGAACGGGGGAACCAACGGAAGUGAUGAUCCUUAUAAUUGAUCAUGACUUCAAGGGGUGAAUCUCGGGGCAAGUAAGCUUGCUCCCGAGUAGGGCGACUCUCACGCCCGAAUCCGACAGCUAACCUCGUAAGCGUAUUGAGAGAGGCAAC
rnacentral:sRNA from 2 species